CGGAAAUAAAGGAAACGCAUCUUGACUUUUAAUCAAGUUGUCCGGGGUUCGAAUCCCCGAUGUCUCA
rnacentral:tRNA from 2 species